rnacentral:rRNA from 1 species
AUGAACGCUGGCGGCGUGCCUCAUACCUGCAAGUCGCGCGAACGGACGAGAAGCUUGCUUCUCUGAUGUUAGCGGCGGACGGGUGAGUAACACGUGGAUAACCUAUCUAUAAGACUGGGAUAACUUCGGGAAACCGGAGCUAAUACCGGAUAAUAUUUUGAACCGCAUGGUUCAAAAGUGAAAGACGGUCUUGCUGUCACUUAUAGAUGGAUCCGCGCUGCAUUAGCUAGUUGGUAAGGUAACGGCUUACCAAGGCAACGAUGCAUAGCCGACCUGAGAGGGUGAUCGGCCACACUGGAACUGAGACACGGUCCAGACUCCUACGGGAGGCAGCAGUAGGGAAUCUUCCGCAAUGGGCGAAAGCCUGACGGAGCAACGCCGCGUGAGUGAUGAAGGUCUUCGGAUCGUAAAACUCUGUUAUUAGGGAAGAACAUAUGUGUAAGUAACUGUGCACAUCUUGACGGUACCUAAUCAGAAAGCCACGGCUAACUACGUG